AUGUUUACCAACUCGUGUUGGACUAGCGACUUUUCUGUUGUCACAAGCGAAGUUUACAAACAUCGUUCCAAUUUAAAUUCUGUCUCACAUUCAAUUUUCUGUCGAAAGAUUACAAGUGGAAAUAUCUAGAACAAAUGUUAAAAUAUUUCAUGGACUCGGGACGUGCGAAAUACUGUCAAAUUUGUCCUCUGCGGGGAUUUUAUUGAUUACUGGAAAUAAAAUCAGGGAAAGGGCCAUUCUUUGCAGACAUAUAGCAAUGAAAAGUGUUUCCAGCUUGGUCGUUGCGGUGUGUAUGGUAGCAUUCGUGGAAGGGUCUAGUAUACAAAAUGUCGUAGAAGUCAGGACCCCAUCAGGAUGGGUGAGAGGUUACGAAGAAAUCUACAAGGAGGAACAAGUAUACAGAUUUAUUAAAAUUCCAUACGCUCAACCUCCAGUUGGAGAAUUACGUUUCCAGAAAACGAGACCGAUCAAAGAAUGGACAGACGUUAAGGGAAUUAGAGACAUAAAUGCUCCUCAAUGUCCACAGAUAGACAAUCCUAUCCCAGGUAUGGAUAAAUUGGAAAACGACGAGGAUUGUCUGUAUCUAAAUGUGUAUGUACCAGGGAAAAUUUCUAAGGACAAAGAUCUAUCAGUAAUGGUUUGGAUUCAUGGCGGAGGAUUUAUUACGGGCGGGGCAAGUCAAUAUAAACCUCAGAAAAUUGUUGUAGGAGGUGGUGUCAUCGUUGUUACCAUCAACUAUAGAUUAGGACUUUUAGGAUUUUUGACCCUGCACGAUCCGUUGGUACCAGGAAACUACGGUCUCUGGGAUCAAAUUCAAGCACUUCGCUGGAUUCAGGAUAAUAUUGCAGCUUUUGGUGGAAAUCCUAAAUCUGUGACUAUAUUUGGAGAGUCAGCAGGUGGAAUGAGUGUAAGUCUUCAAACACUGAUUCCUUCUAAUGAGGGACUUUUUCAAAGAGCCAUUUCCCAGAGUGGAGUUGUUUCGUUCUACGCGUUAGCAAGGAGGAAAGCUGAAAAACAUACAAAUGAAUUGUUACUGAAAAAGACGAAUUGUGACAGAGGAAACUUGUCAGAAACGCUUAAAUGUCUUCGGGAACUACCGGUCGAUAAUAUAACAAAUUGAGUUGGCAUGGCAGACUUUAUGAAUCCUAGUAAUAUAACCGUUGAAGUUGGGAGUGUGGUUCCAACUGUUGAUGGUGAUUUGAUUAAGGAAGAUCUAGCAUAUCCAAAAUCUUGGGACAGCGAAGUCUACAAUUUCUUUCGAAGCAUUGAUUUUAUGUCAGGAACUUUGGAUGGUGAAGGGAACAUGGGGGUGUUUAUCAUUCACCCUAGUCUUAUUGAGAAAAUGAAUAUCAACGUGUCAGAGUCUGUCCCAAAAACCAUUUUAUGUGACUAUACGGCUGCAAAGUUUGUUGAUACAGCAGCCGGAAACAUCCCCUCCCUGACUCAAGAAAUAUGUGACUAUUACACAGCUGAAGACGUUGAUGAACAGAGUAACAAAGUGUUAGAGUUUAUUGGAGACUCGUGGUUCAUUGUUCCGAGCAACAUCAUGUUAUCCAUCCACGCGAACAGCAACGAAAAACGUAACACUUUCCAGUAUCUUGUUACCAGACCUACCCCCUUCCCUCUUCUUCCAUUUGAAAUACCAUCUUGGAUCAAGGGGGCAGGUCAUGGUGAGGAGCUACAUCUAUUGUUCAUCAUGUCACAUGAGCAAGUUUCAGAGGAAAAACUGAAAACAAUAGACCUCAAUGCCAUUGACAGGUUGUCAAAUGAUGUCAUUCAGUACUGGACCAAUUUUGCAAAGUUUGGAAAUCCGAAUUCCGACGAAGUUCCUGAAUGGCCUUCUUACGAUUCUAGAGAAGAACAAUACGUCAUCAUUGAUACUCCUUUUAAGAAAGGGGCCCAUCUAAAAUCUGGAGCUACAGAUCUGCUUAAUAGAAUUCUUACUAAAGGCAAUCCAGGUGCAAGGCAUGAUGAGUUAUAAGCGAUUAAAUCAAAAGCGAUAAAAUAAUAAAAUUUCUGUAUAUUGUU
rnacentral:misc_RNA from 1 species